rnacentral:rRNA from 1 species
CCCUUAGAUGUUCUGGGCCGCACGCGCGCUACACUGAUACGUUCAACGAGUCCAAAACCUUGAUUGAUAGGUCUGGGUAAUCUUUUGAAGACGUAUCGUGCUAGGGAUAGAUUAUUGCAAUUAUUAAUCUUGAACGAGGAAUUCCUAGUAAACGCAAGUCAUCAGCUUGCAUUGAUUACGUCCCUGCCCUUUGUACACACCGCCCGUCGCUCCUACCGAUUGAGUGGUCCGGUGAGGCUUUGGGAUCUGAGCGGAAAGAGCGUUUCGCUGUUUCUGCUCGGAAAACUCAGUCGAACCUUAUCAUUUAGAGGAAGGAGAAGUCGUAACA